CCUACGGGUGGCAGCAGUGAGGAAUAUUGGUCAAUGGGCGCGAGCCUGAACCAGCCAAGUAGCGUGAAGGAUGACUGCCCUACGGGUUGUAAACUUCUUUUAUAAAGGAAUAAAGUGAGGCACGUGUGCCUUUUUGUAUGUACUUUAUGAAUAAGGAACGGCUAACUCCGGGCCAGCAGACGCGGUAAUACGGAGGAUCCGAGCGUUAUCCGGAUUUAUUGGGUUUAAAGGGAGCGUAGAUGGGUUGUUAAGUCAGUUGUGAAAGUUUUCGGCUCAACCGUAAAAUUGCAAUUGAUACUGGCAGUCUUGAGUACAGGUGAGGUAGGCAGAAUUCGUGGUGUAGCGGUGAAAUGCUUAGAUAUCACGAAGAACUCCGAUUGCGAAGGCAGCUUACUAAACUGCCACUGACAUUGAUGCUCGAAAGUGUGGGUAUCAAACAGGAUUAGAUACCCUAGUAGUC
rnacentral:rRNA from 1 species